rnacentral:rRNA from 1 species
GUCUACGACCACAUCAUGUUGAAUACACCCGUUCUCGUCUGAUCACGGAAGUUAAGCAGCAUCGAGCGAGGUUAGUACUUAGAUGGGUGACCGCUUGGGAAUACCUCGUGCCGUAGACG